AGCACUGGCUUCAUCCAGUCCUUUGAGGGCAUCUUCUCCAAUCUUGUCAAACUCCGCAGUGGCAUCUUCUCCGAAUUUAGCGAAGGAGUCUCUGAUUCGGAAUCAGAAUCAUUGGACUUGCUGAAGCGCAAGAUGGAGUUCUUUGUGCUGGGAAAUCUUCCCGGCUGUAAAAUGGUAUGUCUGGUGGCGUUGAAAGAGAUUUGAAUGUGUUUGAGGGCAAUCAUCUUAUCCGCUUCAGUUUUGGCUUGUUUUGGAAUAAAAGGAGAGGAAGAAAUUGAGGGAAGAGAGAUAUUUUAUAUGUCUGAGUUGAAGUCCUUUUGAGCCUCUCAUGUGGUGUUGCAUUAUCCAUUAACUGGAAAGUGUUUCUGGAUAUAAUGAUUGUUAAGAAAGUGAGAUUCUGUCACCUCAUUAUGUGUAAAAAAAAAAUAAUGCCUUUGGAAGGUUUGAGACAGUGGUCUCUGUAUUUAUCGAAUUACAGUCUUUUCUUUUAUUUAUUAAUUCAAAUCGACUAAUCAAAUUGUCUUAAAAACAGUGUGACGUCGUGUCAUUUUCAGUUCUUAAUAUAUCACCAUCUAAAAACUCUGUUGAUCAUAUAUAUCAAAGCUCCAUUUUCUUGAGGACGAUGGUAUUAAUGUAG
rnacentral:lncRNA from 1 species